GGCCGCGCGGUGAGCACAACGCGAACUAUUUUUUCGCCUUUUACUAAAGAAUACCGUUUGCUCGCCUCAAAUAGCGGCAUAAACCUCUUUUAGGAGGGCUCUUAACCUAGUGAUG